rnacentral:rRNA from 1 species
AAUGUAAUUUAAUAAACUAGAGUAGUAAUAGUUAUAGUCUUUAAACUUAAAAAUUUUGGCGGUAUUUUAGUCUAUUCAGAGGAACUUGUAUUUUAAUCGAUAAUCCCCGGGAGACCUUGCUUAAAUUUAUAAAUUAAUUUGUAUACCGUUGUUAUAGAAAAUUUUAAAAGAACAAUAAUUUUCAAUAAUUUUUAUAAAAUUUUAUAUCAAAUCAAGGUGCAGUUUAUAUUUAAGUUAAUAUGAGUUACAAUAAAUUUAUUUAUAUGGAAAUAAAAAUGAAAAUUUUAUUUAAAGUGGAUUUGAUAGUAAAAUUAAAAAGUGAAUUAAUUUGAUUUUAGCUCU